rnacentral:misc_RNA from 1 species
GAUGAAGAACGUAGCGAAAUGCGAUAUGUAAUGUGAAUUGCAGAAUUCAGUGAAUCAUCGAGUCUUUGAACGCACAUUGCGCCCCCUGGUAUUCCGGGGGGCAUGCCUGUCCGAGCGUCAUUGCUGCCCUCAAGCACGGCUUGUGUGUUGGGCCUCCGUCCUCCUCCCGGGGGACGGGCCCGAAAGGCAGCGGCGGCACCGCGUCCGGUCCUCGAGCGUAUGGGGCUUCGUCACCCGCUCUUGUAGGCCCGGCCGGCGCUUGCCGACACAUCAAUCUUUUUUCCAGGUUGACCUCGGAUCAGGUAGGGAUACCCGCUGAACUUAAGCAUAUCAAUAAGCGGAGGA